UCGGAUUGUAGUCUGCAACCCGACUACAUGAAGCUGGAAUCGCUAGUAAUCGCGGAUCAGCAUGCCGCGGUGAAUACGUUCCCGGGCCUUGUACACACCGCCCGUCACACCAUGAGAGUCGGGAACACCCGAAGUCCGUAGUCUAACCGCAAGGGGACGCGGCCGAAGGUGGGUUCGAUAAUUGGGGUGAAGUCGUAACAAGGUAGC
rnacentral:rRNA from 1 species